GAUGAACGCUGGCGGCGUGCCUAAUACAUGCAAGUCGAGCGAACAGAUAAGGAGCUUGCUCCUUUGACGUUAGCGGCGGACGGGUGAGUAACACGUGGGUAACCUACCUAUAAGACGGGGAUAACUUCGGGAAACCGGAGCUAAUACCGGAUAACAUCUGGAACCGCAGGGGGCUAAGGAGAAAGACGGUUGUGCUAUCACUUAUAGAUGGACCCGCGCCGUAUUGGCUAGUUGGUAAGGUAAAGGCUUACCAAGGCAACGAUUCGUAAGCGAGCGGAGAGGGUGGUAGCCGGCCCUGGAGCUUGGCCACGGUCCAGACUCCUGCGGGAGGCAGCAGUCUGGAACCUUCCGCAGAGGGCGAGAGCCUUGCGGAGCAAGGCGGCGCGAGAUACGACGGCUUUCGGCGCGUAAAGCUCUCUUAUUAGGGAAGAACAAAUGUGUAAGUAGCUGUGCAGGUCUUGACGGUACCGAAUCAGAAAGCCACGGCUAACUACGUG
rnacentral:rRNA from 1 species